CUCACGAUUAGUAAAAAAAUUCUUUGGAUCCAAGAUCUAAUGCACACAAUGGGGAGAUUAAAAAAAAAUCAUCCAUCCAUUUUCCAUAACGCUUCUCCUACUCACGGAUGCAGGGGAGCCUGGGGCCUAAGCCCCCAACCCCGGAGGUAUGAGGCAACCAUUCUAACCCCUAAUCCACCAUGCCCCCCAUGUCUCUCGGCAAUGAUUAUGAUUAUGUUAAUGAUUAUUUUAUUGCAUGUUAUACUUUUAUCCAUUCAUAGUUACAUUUAGUGUUGUGGCAUGUCUGUGAAAGCUAGUUCCUGUUCCAGAGGCUAAAACAUAGCAUGUGUCAACAAGUAUCGCUUUAUGUGGCCACCCAACACUAGCUCUUGGCUGCUCCAGUCAAAAUGUUGUGGACAAUUUCUUGUGAAAAGGGCCCAUUGGCACAGCUCCGUGGCAUUUCAUUUGACACUGAUGUUUUUGGGGUGAUGACAUAAAAGCUGGGCAAGAGAACCAAAUCAAUAAUACUUGACUAAUAUACAAAUAUACCAAAGUACUACUUAUAUAUAGUAAUGAAUUAUUCAAGUGUUUUCCUUCCAUGAUGUACAACUGUAGUGAUCAAACUUGACAUUAAAUAUGGACAUAAACGUGUAUUUAGCAGCUAAAUCCACAACUGACCCAAAAUAGACGGUAUCUUUUUUACGGGCUAGUCUACUAAUGAACAGCCAUUUCCGGUCAGUUAAUGCUCAGUAGGCUUUUUUUUUAAAUGAAUGCGGCAAAACCACUGCAGUGACAGUUUUCACACGUACACCAGACAAAUUCCUCUGAAUACAGUAUAUCUUAUUCUUUAAAACUGUUUUAUUACACUGAUCUUCUAAAUUCACCCGUUAACUGAUGUCAGACUUAGAAAGUGGUUCAACAAGGACUCUGGAUAGUGUGAACAUCAACAGAGAGGAUCACAACCAAUCAGAGCAGAGUGUGUGUGAAGUUCUGGGUAAAGGUAUCCAGUAAUGUGAGGUCGUCUCCCCAGGCACACUAAAGGGCUGCUAGAUUUACGCUCGCUUAAUUAUGAAUGAGUGAGGCAUGAGAGAAGCGAAGCAGAUCUCGUUAAAUCUGUCCUCUCGGCCUGCUACAGUGACUAAACUCACGCACUUUAUACGAUACAUUUUCCCUGAGAAGAGCGGGAAAGUGGGCGUGGCUUUGACCUCCGACGUUUAUGUAGCUCUGCUCAUACGAGUGAGUCUAGAAUGUCGUGCACAAAAGCAAAACGCGCGUUCAUACAAGCCGGUGAAUCAGAUUACGUCUGAAAAUCUCACUCUGCAUGUGUGUGUGUGUGUGUGUGUGUGUGUGUGUGGGAGGUCCUUAAUAUCAAGAAGCACCUAAAGUCUGCAUCGACAGAUCCAUUUCAGUUUAACGCACUGCAGAUGUGUGGGUGUGGGGUUGUGCUUUUUUGGCUGUUCUUUUAUCAACAAACUCCAGAGUCCACCAGUUUCCCAGGAAUCUCGAGAAUUUAGGUCUAAAGAUGUGUCCCGGUAUAUUUCCAGCAAAGAACAGAGCCUGGGAAAACCACCAAUUGACUCACACUGAGAGAAAGAAAAGAGUCAGUUCUGUGUGAAGUCUGGCUUCUAAUAGAUAAGACAUUCCUCUGCAAAUACACACACACACACACACACACAAAGGAGAUGAGUAAUUGAAGAAUCAGUUGGUUUGCAAGGCCCUAAAUGGAUGGACGAGGGAUAUGAGCUGUGCCGUGUGUGUGUGUGUGUGUGUGUGUGUGUGUGUGUGUGUGUGUGUGUGACAGUUUGCACUUCCUCUCUAAACCUUUGUGAUAGAUGAGGUUUGAGUGUGUUUUUCUGCUGCUCCACUGACUCACGAGAGCUUCACGCCCCAGUUACACACACGCAUACACCCCGUAAACUGCGUUUUAUUCUAGCAGUGAUCCUUAAACUGUUCUCCCCGUUGCAGGCAACCCCAGAAUUCUGUUUACUGAAUGACACAUCUGUAAAUGUUUCAGCAACAAAAUGGACUAAAUUCACUCUCACGGAGAAGUCCAAUUAUUAAAAAAAGGAAUGCUAGCUGACAGUCAUAGUAUUUGUGUUAGUAAUUGUGUUUGUUAUUUGCUAGAAAUGAUUUCAGGAUUGAAAAAGAAAAAAAGAAAAAACACACACACACAUUAAAAAAAAACACCACAUAGCUAACAGAACAUGAUUUUGGCUUACCUCAGGAAAAACCGUGAACUAGCAGCAGAAGUUGUUGGGUUCCUGAAUACAACUAAACUAUUUACUUUUGUUAGUUGCUAAUUGCUGUUUUCCACAAACAUCACUAGUGACAUAACCAACGCUAGUCGUAUUGUGUAUAGUUAGCCACUAGCAAGUUAGCUACCUCACCUAAGCUAGUUGUGAGGCUACAUUAGCUAGUUGUGAGGCUACAUAAGCUAGUUGUGAGGCUACAUUAGCUAGUUGUGAGGCUACAUUAGCGAGUUGUGCGGCUACAUAAGCUAGUUGUGAGGCUACAUUAGCUAGUUGUGAGGCUACAUUAGCUAGUUGUGCGGCUACAUAAGCUAGUUGUGAGGCUACAUUAGCUAGUUGUGAGGCUACAUUAGCUAGUUGUGAGGCUACAUAAGCUAGUUGUGAGGCUACAUUAGCUAGUUGUGCGGCUACAUUAGUUAGUUGUGAGGCUACAUUAGCGAGUUGUGAGGCUACAUAAGCUAGUUGUGAGGCUACAUUAGCUAGUUGUGAGGCUACAUAAGCUAGUUGUGAGGCUACAUUAGCUAGUUGUGAGGCUAUAUUAGCGAGUUGUGAGGCUACAUUAGCUAGUUGUGAGGCUACAUUAGCUAGUUGUGAGGCUACAUAAGCUAGUUGUGAGGCUACAUUAGCUAGUUGUGAGGCUACAUAAGCUAGUUGUGAGGCUACAUUAGUUAGUUGUGAGGCUACAUUAGCUAGUUGUGAGGCUACAUUAGCUAGUUGUGAGGCUACAUAAGCUAGUUGUGAGGCUACAUUAGUUAGUUGUGAGGCUACAUUAGCUAGUUGUGAGGCUAUAUUAGCUAGUUGUGAG
ensembl:lncRNA